UACGAAGGGGGCUAGCAUUGCUCGGAAUCACUUGGGCGUAAAGCGCACGUAGGCGGCUUUUUUAAGUCAGGGGUGAAAUCCUGGAGCUCAACUCCAGAACUCGCCUUUUGAUACUGAGAGCUUUUGAGUCCGGGAGAGGUGAGUAGGAACGUGCGAGUGUAGAGGUGAAAUUCGUAGAUAUUCGUCGAAGAACACCAGUGGCGAAAGGCGGCUUCACUGGCCCGGUACUGACGCUGAGGUGCGAAAGCGUGGGGAGCAAACAGG
rnacentral:rRNA from 1 species